AGGUCCUAGGAGCAGAGCAGUACAUUAUGAAGCUGAAGGUCCUAGGAGCAGAGCAGUACAUUAUGAAGCUGAAGGUCCUAGGAGCAGAGCAGUACAUUAUGAAGCUGAAGGUCCUAGGGAACAGAGCAGUACAUUAUGAAGCUGAAGGUCCUAGGGAACAGAGCAGUACAUUAUGAAGCUGAAGGUCCUAGGAGCAGAGCAGUACAUUAUGAAGCUGAAGGUCCCAGGGAACAGAUCAGUACAUUAUGAAGCUGAAGGUCCCAGGGAACAGAGCAGUACAUUAUAAGUGUUUCUUAUUGGUGGAGCCUCCAGUUGCUGCCUGAUGUUAAGUGAUGAUGUAGUACUCAUUAGGUGAUGUCAUGUUUUAACAUAUGUUUUUAGGAAAGACCGAGGCUUUCUGUGUUAAGAUAUGUUUUUAUCUAUAUAAUCGAGGGAAGAUGACAUUUGGAGAAACGUUGUUUAAACAUUCCUUUAAUAUGUUCCGACUUUGUGAUCAUAAUGUUUGAGUUGUAUUAGUCGGUGUUCUGAUGAGAGGGUGAACAGCUGUGGGUAUAUUCACUAGGUACUGAACGGAGUAAGACAGGUUUAAAACAGGCCCGGGAUUUACCCUGAACUUGUUUAAAAAGAAACACUUGUUUUUUUUUGUUGCAAAACUUGUUGCGUUGCAAAAUGUUUCGCUAAAUUGUGCACUAUGAAUAUACUGUGGCUGUGUGCUGCAGUUUGACCACCUGGCCUGCAGAGGGCAUCGAUGAGUCAACUUAUUAUACACUUAUGUUAAACCAUAUGUCAUGUCCAUUAUCAUUAUGCAUCAAGAUAAUUAUUGCUGCUGUCAUUAUUCACAGUGUGUACUGAAUGAAAUAUGUUUCAUCAUUCACAUGUAUUUAUUUCAUCAUUUGAUUUGUUUGAAUAUUAUUUAAUGAAUUAGAAUUUUAAAUGUUAAGUACACUACACUGACCAACAGUAUGUGGACACCUGCUCGUCCAACAUCUCGUUCCAAAAUCAUGGGCAUUAAUAUGGAGUUGGUCCCCUCUUUGCUGCUCUAGCAGCCUCUUCUGGGAAGUUUUUCCACUAGCUGUUGGAACAUUGAUGUGGGGACUUGCUUCCAUCCAGCCACAAGAACAUUAGUGAGGUUGGACACUGAUGUUGGGUGAUUCGGCCUGGCUCGGAGUCGGCAUUCCAAUUAAUCUGAAAGGUGUUUGAUGGGGUUGAGAUCAGGGUUCUAUGCAGGCCAGUCAAGUUCUUCCUCACCGCUCUCAACAAACCAUUUCUGUAUGAACUUCUCUUUGUGCACGGGGGGGCAUUGUCAAGCUGGAACAGGAAAUGGUCUUCCCCAAACUGUUGCCACAAAGUUGGAAGCACAGAAUCAUCUAGAAUGUCAUUGUAUGCUGUAUCGUUAAGAUUUCCCUUCACUGGAACUAAGGGGCCGAGCCUGAACCAUGAAAAACAUCCCCAGAACAUUAUUCUUCCUCCACCAAACUUUACAGCUGUGUUGGGGCAGGUAGCGUUCUCCUGGCAUCCGCCAAACCCAGAUUCGUCCGUUGGACUGCAAGAAAGUGUCGCGUUUCCGCUGCUCCAAAGUUGGCGAACUUUAAACCACUCCAGCCUACGCUUGGCAUUGCGCAUGGUGAUCUUAGGCUUGUGUGCGGCUGCUCGGCCAUGGAAACCCAUUUCAAGAAGCUUCAGACAAACAGUUCUUAACAUGACGUUGCUUCCAGAGGCAGUUUGGAACUCUGUAGUGAGUGUUGCAACCGAGGACAGACGAUGCUUCAGCACUCGGCGAUCCCAUUCUGUGAGCUUGUGUGGCCUACCACUUCACAGCUGAGCCGUUGUUGCUCCUAGACGUUUCCACUUCACAAUACAGCACUUACAGUUGACCAGGGCAGCUCAAGCAGGGCAGAAAUUUGAAAAACUGACUUGUUGUAAAGGUGGCAUCCUAUGACUGCUCUACUGGCAAUGUUUGUCUAUGGAGAUUGCAUGGCUGUGUGCUCAAUUAUUAAUUAUUUUAAUACAGUUAUGAACGUGUGUGGCUGAUAUAGCCAAAUCCACUAAUUUAAAGGGGUGUCCACAUACUUUUGUGUGUGUAUAUAUGUAUGUAUAUAUAUAUAUCUCUUAUUUUGAUAUUGGUACCUUGUGUUGUAAAGACUGGAUGGAUUCAAAGUUGUUCUUUUUCCAAAAUAAAUCUGAACCCUGGACCACUC